rnacentral:rRNA from 1 species
GAUGAACGCUGGCGGCGUGCCUAAUACAUGCAAGUCGAGCGAACAGACGAGGAGCUUGCUCCUCUGACGUUAGCGGCGGACGGGUGAGUAACACGUGGAUAACCUACCUAUAAGACUGGGAUAACUUCGGGAAACCGGAGCUAAUACCGGAUAACAUGUUGAACCGCAUGGUUCAACAGUGAAAGACGGUCUUGCUGUCACUUAUAGAUGGAUCCGCGCCGCAUUAGCUAGUUGGUAAGGUAACGGCUUACCAAGGCAACGAUGCGUAGCCGACCUGAGAGGGUGAUCGGCCACACUGGAACUGAGACACGGUCCAGACUCCUACGGGAGGCAGCAGUAGGGAAUCUUCCGCAAUGGGCGAAAGCCUGACGGAGCAACGCCGCGUGAGUGAAGAAGGUCUUCGGAUCGUAAAACUCUGUUAUUAGGGAAGAACAAAUGUGUAAGUAACUAUGCACGUCUUGACGGUACCUACUCAGAAAGCCACGGCUAACUACGUG